UGGGGAAUCUUGCACAAUGGGCGAAAGCCUGAUGCAGCAACGCCGCGUGAAGGAUGAAGUAUUUCGGUAUGUAAACUUCGAAAGAAUAGGAAGAAUAAAUGACGGUACUAUUUAUAAGGUCCGGCUAACUACGUGCCAGCAGCCGCGGUAAUACGUAGGGACCAAGCGUUGUUCGGAUUUACUGGGCGUAAAGGGCGCGUAGGCGGCAAUUCAAGUCAUCUGUGAAAUCUCCGGGCUUAACUCGGAACGGUCAGAUGAUACUGCUUUGCUAGAGUGCAGAAGGGGCAAUCGGAAUUCUUGGUGUAGCGGUGAAAUGCGUAGAUAUCAAGAGGAACACCUGAGGUGAAGACGGGUUGCUGGGCUGACACUGACGCUGAGGCGCGAAAGCCAGGGGAGCAAACGGGGAUUAGAUACCCUAGUAGUCCCUGAGCGGGCUGGCAAGGCGCAU
rnacentral:rRNA from 1 species